rnacentral:rRNA from 1 species
AUUGAACGCUGGCGGCAGGCCUAACACAUGCAAGUCGAACGAGUGGCGGACGGGUGAGUAAUGUCUGGGAAACUGCCUGAUGGAGGGGGAUAACUACUGGAAACGGUAGCUAAUACCGCAUACCAUCAGAUGUGCCCAGAUGGGAUUAGCUUGUUGGUGGGGUAACGGAUCACCAAGGCGAAGAUCACGAGCUGGUCUGGGAGGAUGACCAGCCAACCGGGAACUGAGCCACGGUCCAGAGUCCUACGGGAGGCAGCAGUGGGGAAUAUUGCACAAUGGGAGAAGGCCUGAUGCAGCCAUGCCGCGUGUAUGAAGAAGGCCUUCGGGUUGUAAAGUACUUUCAGCGGGGAGGCGUUACCCGCAGAAGAAGCACCGGCUAACUCCGUGCCAGCAGCCGCGGUAAUUC